rnacentral:rRNA from 1 species
UACGUAGGGGGCUAGCGUUGUCCGGAUUUAUUGGGCGUAAAGAGCGUGUAGGCGGCCAGGUAGGUCUGGUGUGAAAACUCGAGGCUCAACCUCGAGACGUCGGUUGAAACCGUAUGGCUAGAGUCCGGAAGAGGAGAGUGGAAUUCCCGGUGUAGCGGUGAAAUGCGCAGAUAUCGGGAGGAACACCGGUGGCGAAGGCGGGUCUCUGGGCCGAUACUGACGCUGAGACGCGAAAGCGUGGGGAGCGAACAGA